GGGACUAUAGCCAAAUGGUUAAGGCGACAGAUUAGGGUGUGGGUACCCCGGUCGCCCAAAGGGCGACCCCUAGCUGGUCGAACCUAGUGUCGAACACAUUAUCUGUUACUGUCUGAGUGCGCAAGUUCAAAUCCUGCUGGUGUCG